rnacentral:lncRNA from 1 species
AAAAAGGGAAAUGAAUUUGAUAAAUGAAAAAGAAACAGGAGGGACAAUCCGCGGGGGUGGGGCAUCGGACACAAAAGAGACAAACAUAUAUCUUCUAAGCUUCAGAAAUCAAAUGCAAACAUUGCAGGGCAACACUGAGAAAAAAAAAAAAAAAAUCCAGCUGGCAGGGGCGGCUACCAAAAAAAAUGAAUUCUGAGUUUUGAGAAAUCAAGCGUAAACUUUGCAGGAAAAUAAUCAAAACAUUUGUACGUAAUAACUGGAUCAGACGAAGGACUGACAAAACUACAAAAUUGCCUAAUGAAAAUUGCAAUGAAAAAAGAGUAAAAACGUUUGCUGGUCCUCGUGGAAAGCAUUGGAAGAACAAUCUUCAACUUAAAUUUUCACCACUUGAACGGGAUAGCAGUAACCAGACUGCGAAUUUCCCGGUUACAUGAUAACAUUUUCCAAAAGAUUAUUUAAUAGUUCAUAACCAUUAUUUGUUUAUCAUUUGAGUUUGACCCAAGCAAAACUUCGAGAGCUUAAACCCAUUAAGUUAUUU